GAACGAGGCCGGUGACAAGUAGAGCUCCAGUCUGGUGGGAUCGACGCCGUCUGGUAGAGGUCUCUGGAGUAGCUGGGCGGCCGGAUAGGAUUCUUGAGUGAUACGCGCCAACUCUAUUUCGACAAGCUGCGUCUCACCAGUUAAGCUGAAAAGCAAGCACUAGAAGCACUGGAAUUGGAGAUGUAUGGAAAUGUUAAGCUGAAUAGCACGAAAACCAAAUAAGGAAGUGAAAAUGUUGAAGCUAGGAAGAACAUUUUCUGAUGAUUGUCACUAAUUAAAUUAAUUAAGAGACAGUUUCGAUUGUUUGGACAUGCUCUAAGACACCUAGAAGAGUUGCAAACUAUAAUAAUAAACAGUAUGAUGGAAGGGAAAAGAACGCCCAGGACGACCUAGCAAUUCAUACAUCAGCGAUGUCGUCGCGGUCGCGCCAUUCCGGGAAACAGUCCGUAAACCGGAGCGGCUCGAGUCCGGCCCAUACCAGAAACGCUUUCGGAUCGUUGUCAUCGUCGUCGCCGUAUUGUCGUUUCCAGUAAUCUAACGCCGUCUGCAUGGCCGCCCUCCUUUCGGCUUGAAGUCUGGUCGACGAUGAUCCGCGAUGGUUUAACGCUGUUGCCGUAAAGGUAGCGGGCUCCGCGUCAGCGUCAUCUCCCUCCUCCGCCGUCAACACCGCCGUCUCGGGCCACCAUCCUUGCCACAGCCACAACUCCUCGCCCGUGUCAAGCAUGAACGUCGCUAAACGUGAAAACGAAACAGCGGUUUAAAAGACAUCGUGCAAAUUCUUAUCGCGUAUUUAUAAAAUUAAAUUAUUUUUAAAGAAUAAAAACCAUUCGUGUGCCACUAUGCAAUACCAAAUAAUUAGCUAUAAUAUUUAUCAAUGACUAAUUUGUAAUUACACAAUACGAGUCUAUAUUUAAAAAAUAAAAUGAAUACAUUUGAAA